rnacentral:tRNA from 1 species
UUUAAAGUGGCAGAAGUUUUAUGCAAUGGAUUUAAGCUCCAUAGAUGGGGGAUCCCCUUUAAAA